rnacentral:rRNA from 1 species
UAGGGCCUACGGGACGCAGCAGUGGGGAAUAUUGCACAAUGGGGGAAACCCUGAUGCAGCGACGCCGCGUGAGUGAAGAAGUAUUUCGGUAUGUAAAGCUCUAUCAGCAGGGAAGAAAAUGACGGUACCUGAAAAAGAAGCCCCGGCUAACUACGUGCCAGCAGCCGCGGUAAUACGUAGGGGGCAAGCGUUAUCCGGAUUUACUGGGUGUAAAGGGAGCGUAGACGGAAAGGCAAGUCAGAAGUGAAAACCCAAGGCUCAACCAUGGGACUGCUUUUGAAACUGUCAAACUAGAGUACGGGAGG